rnacentral:rRNA from 1 species
UACAGAGGUCCCAAGCGUUGUUCGGAUUCAUUGGGCGUAAAGGGUGCGUAGGCGGCGCGGUAAGUCGGGUGUGAAAUCUCGGAGCUUAACUCCGAAACUGCAUUCGAUACUGCCGUGCUUGAGGACUGGAGAGGAGACUGGAAUUUACGGUGUAGCGGUGAAAUGCGCAGAGAUCGGGAGGAACACCCGUAGCGAAGGCGGCGCUCUGGGCCGGUACUGACGCUGAGGAGCGAAAGCGUGGGGAGCAAACAGG